rnacentral:rRNA from 1 species
UGCCAGCARCCGCGGUAAUACAGAGGGUGCAAGCGUUAAUCGGAAUUACUGGGCGUAAAGCGAGCGUAGGUGGCUUGAUAAGUCAGAUGUGAAAUCCCCGGGCUUAACCUGGGAACUGCAUCUGAUACUGUUAGGCUAGAAUAGGUGAGAGGAAGGUAGAAUUCCAGGUGUAGCGGUGAAAUGCGUAGAGAUCUGGAGGAAUACCGAUGGCGAAGGCAGCCUUCUGGCAUCAUAUWRACACUGAGGUUCGAAAGCGUGGGUAGCAAACAGGAUUAGAUACCCUGGUAGUCCAAGGGC